rnacentral:rRNA from 1 species
AUUGAACGCUGGCGGCAGGCUUAACACAUGCAAGUCGAGCGGGGGAAGGUAGCUUGCUACCGGACCUAGCGGCGGACGGGUGAGUAAUGCUUAGGAAUCUGCCUAUUAGUGGGGGACAACAUCUCGAAAGGGAUGCUAAUACCGCAUACGUCCUACGGGAGAAAGCAGGGGAUCUUCGGACCUUGCGCUAAUAGAUGCGCCUAAGUCGGAGUAGCUAGUUGGUGGGGUAAAGGCCUACCAAGGCGACGGUCUGUAGCGGGUCUGAGAGGAUGAGCCGCCACACUGGGACUGAGACACGGCCCAGACUCCUACGGGAGGCAGCAGUGGGGAAUAUUGGACAAUGGGGGGAACCCUGAUCCAGCCAUGCCGCGUGUGUGAAGAAGGCCUUAUGGUUGUAAAGCACUUUAAGCGAGGAGGAGGCUACUCUAGUUAAUACCUAGGGAUAGUGGACGUUACUCGCAGAAUAAGCACCGGCUAACUCUGUGCCAGCCGCCGCCGUAA